rnacentral:rRNA from 1 species
UUAAAUUGAAGAGUUUGAUCAUGGCUCAGAUUGAACGCUGGCGGCAGGCCUAACACAUGCAAGUCGAACGGUAACAGGAAGAAGCUUGCUUCUUUGC